GGAGCGGUGGGUGAGUGGCUGAAACCAGCAGUUUGCUAAACUGUCGUACUUGGUAACAGGUACCGAGGGUUCGAAUCCCUCCCGCUCCG
rfam:Insolitispirillum peregrinum strain DSM 11589 genome assembly, contig: Ga0111619_103